rnacentral:lncRNA from 13 species
AUAUUCCUAAGUGCAUGUUGUAAAGAUACGUCCAUAUAUCACCUGGCAACAAAGAACAUUAAGUUCUUUUUCGAUCUUUUUGUUGUUCGUCUACUCAAUGCUAAAUGUCUCUGUAAAUUGCGGAUUUUUUUCCGAAUAAUCUCAGUGACUAUUUUACAUUACCGUUUUGGAAACAAAGCUGUAAAACAAGAUUCUUAAAUUAGAUACAAUUUCUUUUUUGUACAUGAAUUUUUAUAAGAAACUGUGAAAUUCACAAGUAAAUAUGCUAUCCAAGCAUGUGUGAUGAAAGCUGUAUCUCCAUGCAUAUGUGCAGGCACGCACACUUGAGAUCAUUCCACAGGCUGACAUAUGCUUAUGCCUUUUUUCUGCCUUGCUUAAUUAACACAUCUUCUGCUCAUGUGUAUCCAUAAGAAUAUUGUACAAAAGCAUCCUCUGAUCUCUCACUCACAUUCAUUGUUGAUUAGAAAGUGAUACCCGCUUUAUAAUUUCCUUUAUUAACUCAGAAUUGACACAAAUUAGAUUUGUGACAAAUUGUACAUUAGCAAGAAACAGAGGUUUAAAUAUAAUGAAAAAAAAAAAACAAAUUGCAUUCUUUUUUAUUCUUUCUGGGGAGAUUGAAGCCUCUCUUCUACCCCCAAAUCAAACUCACUGCAUCUGUAAAAUGCAGGCCUAUGAAGGUACCUGCUGUCUGAGAGUUCCAUGGGUCAGUGGUGAGUUUAAAGAUUAUUUCUUUUUCUUACUGUCUUUGGAAAAGGAUAAGGAUGCUGCUGGCUUAGCUUCAAGAGGCUCUUCUGUCUCACAAAUGGAGCUUCCUGAUCCAACUGAAGACCGCAGUCAGGGGUCUUGGAGGGCCACACUGCAGAGGCUCUGGGUCAGAUGGUACAAGUUCAGACUGUGGAGCCAAAUACCGAAGUCCAGUUCAUUAUCUGUCUUUAGCGAGUUACGGGGAGCUUGUCAAGUCAAUGUAGGAGGAUAA